AUAGUUUCAUAUUUAUAUUAUUUGCAUAUUCGCGAUUAGUUUCGUAAUGCUAAGUUUAGUCUCGAUUUCGAAUAUUUCUCAACCAAUGCUCAUUGUCGGAAUUGAUUAUUUUUGGGUUGAUAGGUUUAUAGUUUUAGUUUUUACAAGCGCCAUAUAUGCUCUACCAUGUUUAUAUUUCGAAAGAUACCAGAUCUCAAUAUGUUCUUACAUGUACAUCCCCCUAGUCAAAAUAUUAUAUAUUCAUUAUUUUAUGCUGUUCAGCACGUGCUUUGUGCUCUGUUAGGUUCAAAUAGUCGGUCUCGCAUUAUGCUCAUAUAUUUAAGAUUAAG
rnacentral:lncRNA from 1 species